GAUGGACGCUGGCGGCGUGCCUAAUACAUGCAAGUCGAGCGAACAGACGAGGAGCUUGCUCCUCUGACGUUAGCGGCGGACGGGUGAGUAACACGUGGAUAACCUACCUAUAAGACUGGGAUAACUUCGGGAAACCGGAGCUAAUACCGGAUAAUAUAUUGAACCGCAUGGUUCAAUAGUGAAAGACGGUUUUGCUGUCACUUAUAGAUGGAUCCGCGCCGCAUUAGCUAGUUGGUAAGGUAACGGCUUACCAAGGCAACGACGCGUAGCCGACCUGAGAGGGUGAUCGGCCACACUGGAACUGAGACACGGUCCAGACUCCUACGGGAGGCAGCAGUAGGGAAUCUUCCGCAAUGGGCGAAAGCCUGACGGAGCAACGCCGCGUGAGUGAUGAAGGUCUUCGGAUCGUAAAACUCUGUUAUUAGGGAAGAACAAAUGUGUAAGUAACUAUGCACGUCUUGACGGUACCUAAUCAGAAAGCCACGGCUAACUACGUG
rnacentral:rRNA from 1 species